rnacentral:rRNA from 1 species
GGCGCUCUCAAUACAUGCACCUCUGAAGAAUAAAAAGCACCCAUAUAAGCUUAAAUUGCUUGGCCGAGGUCGGAUGUAAAAAACAAACUUGUUCCUUGUUGUUAUAGAAAUACAUCGCAUGAGCUUCAGUUAUUUUAUAUUUGCUAUUUUGGAUUGCCAGAGUUCAUGUUUCCCUCCAACCUGAAUGAGCAAAAAUGUAGGCCUCAUCAGUAUAGAGGACAACUCUAGAGCUAAUGGAACUGCAUAACCUCCAUAUAUCUGCGCCAGGCUUUUUUCUCAAAUAUCUGCAUCAGGCUUUUUUUUGCUCAAAUAUCUGCAUCAGGCUUGACUAUCAACUACUCGGUAGAAGUUGAAAUCGAGCUCAACCAUUGUGCAAAAAAAAAAAAACAGUUCAGAAAAUACAUCGCGCCCUUGUCGACAGUAUGCAAGAAUCAUACCUGAACACUACAUGUAGACAUGGUGAGAGAAGUUGUUACAUGUGGGAGUUAUAGACAAGAAAACAGCUAGCCAUUCCUAUUGUACAGAUUUUGAAGUCUUAGGAUGUGGUAAAAUUCUAGGUAAGUAGGUUAGCCCUGUCAUACUUGUCAUUUGGAUCAAGAUGGUUGUUAUACAUCUCUGACCUCCUCCUCAGUCCAUCAGGUAAAGAGAAAAUCAUGCAAGGCUAUAUUUAUAAGCAAGGCACAUACCUGUUUCACACCAGCAAGUCACUGCUCACGUACAUGUUAAAAAUGAGUUCAUAAGCUUUAUUGCCAUUGCACCUAGGCUAGGCUGUACUAUCCCCGCAAACAAUAGUAGUGGGCAUCAGGCAACAGAAUAGAAAAUGCAUAUAAUUAAUUUCCCUGCAUGAUAGCCACAGAGUGAAGGGCAGGAGAGUCGGCUGUAGGGGUGUGGUGAAUGCGUCCAUGGGGCAGCAGCCGAGCAUCGAAGCGGCGGACGGCGAUGGU